rnacentral:rRNA from 1 species
AGCAGUAGCCGCGGUAAUACGUAGGGUGCAAGCGUUAAUCGGAAUUACUGGGCGUAAAGCGUGCGCAGGCGGUUAUAUAAGUCAGAUGUGAAAUCCCCGGGCUCAACCUGGGAACUGCAUUUGAGACUGUAUGGCUAGAGUGUGUCAGAGGGGGGUAGAAUUCCACGUGUAGCAGUGAAAUGCGUAGAGAUCGGGAGGAACAUCAGUGGCGAAGGCGGCCAUCUGGGACAACACUGACGCUGAGGCACGAAAGCGUGGGGAGCAAACAGGAUUAGAGACCCCAGUAGUCCCUGUCUCUUAUAC